AGUGAACGCUGGCGGUAGGCCUAACACAUGCAAGUCGAACGGCAACACAGUAAGAGCUUGCUCUUACGGGUGGCGAGUGGCGGACGGGUGAGGAAUACAUCGGAAUCUACUUUUUCGUGGGGGAUAACGUAGGGAAACUUACGCUAAUACCGCAUACGACCUACGGGUGAAAGCAGGGGAUCUUCGGACCUUGCGCGAUUGAAUGAGCCGAUGUCGGAUUAGCUAGUUGGCGGGGUAAAGGCCCACCAAGGUGACGAUCCGUAGCUGGUCUGAGAGGAUGAUCAGCCACACUGGAACUGAGACACGGUCCAGACUCCUACGGGAGGCAGCAGUGGGGAAUAUUGGACAAAGGGCGCAAGCCUGAUCCAGCCAUACCGCGUGGGUGAAGAAGGCCUUCGGGUUGUAAAGCCCUUUUGUUGGGAAAGAAAAGCAGCAGGUUAAUACCCCGCUGUUCUGACGGUACCCAAAGAAUAAGCACCGGCUAACUUCGUG
rnacentral:rRNA from 1 species